rnacentral:rRNA from 1 species
UAUUAUUCCAUGCACGAACAUUCAGGCGAGACGCCUGUGCUGAGCACUCUGAUUUGUUCAAAGUAAACGCGCUGAGCAGAGCGGCGUGCAGCCUUGCGGCCACAGCGCACGCCCCAGCCCAGCCGAAUAGCCGACGGAGGCAGAGUACCGCCCCGCGAGGGGGGACUCGCCCGCCGGCAGAGAUCCAACUACGAGCUUUUUAACCGCAGCAAUAAUUCUAUGCAUUUUGAGAGCUGGAAUUACCGCGGCUGCUGGCACCACACUUGCCCUCUCAUAGAUACUCGUUAUAGGGUUUAGAUUGUACCCAUUCCGAUGACUGGCCUCUUGUGAGAACAGUCUCGUUAUUUUUCCUCACUACCUCCUCGUACCGAGAGUGGGUAAUUUGCGCGCCUGCUGCCAUCCUUAGACGUAGUGGCCA